CCUACGGGGGGCAGCAGUAGGGAAUUUUCGUCAAUGGGCGCAAGCCUGAACGAGCGAUGCCGCGUGAGUGAAGAAGGCCUUCGGGUCGUAAAGCUCUGUUGCGGGGGAAAAAAGGCAGCAUCAGGAAAUGGGUGCUGACUGAUGGUGCCCGGCCGGAAAGUCGCGGCUAACUACGUGCCAGCAGCCGCGGUAAUACGUAGGUGGCGAGCGUUAUCCGGAAUGAUUGGGCGUAAAGGGUGCGCAGGCGGUCCUGCAAGUCUGGAGUGAAACGCAUGAGCUCAACUCAUGCAUGGCUUUGGAAACUGGAGGACUGGCGAGCAGGUGUUGUCUGUUGAACUCCAUGUGUAGCGGUAAAAUGCGUAGAUAUAUGGAAGAACACCAGUGGCGAAGGCGGCCGCCUGGCCUGUUGCUGACGCUGCGGCACGAAAGCGUGGGGAGCAAAUAGGAUUAGAUACCCGGGUAGUC
rnacentral:rRNA from 1 species